rnacentral:rRNA from 1 species
CAGCCGCCGCGGGAAAACGGAGGGUGCAAGCGUUAUCCGGAUUUAUUGGGUUUAAAGGGUACGUAGGCGGAUCUGUAAGUCAGUGGUGAAAUCUCACAGCUUAACUGUGAAACUGCCAUUGAUACUGCAGGUCUUGAGUAAAUUUGAAGUGGCUGGAAUAAGUAGUGUAGCGGUGAAAUGCAUAGAUAUUACUUAGAACACCAAUUGCGAAGGCAGGUCACUAAGAUUUAACUGACGCUGAUGGACGAAAGCGUGGGGAGCGAACAGGAUUAGAUACCCCUGUAGUCCCUGUCUCUUAUAC